GCCGCGGCUGCGCGCUGCAGAGUGUGUUUUUGGAACAGCUGUGUACUUGAUGACGUCACCCUCUUAAGUACUUGGGCUGCGACUGAUGACGUAUUACGAGUCCACAAGAAGACAAGUACAGACAGGAGUAAAACAGAGAGAGAGAGGAGUAAAACAGAGAGAGAGGAGUCAGUACCCUCUCGGAGUAAAACAGAGAGAGAGAGAGAGCUGCUAACUUUCAUCACGAGGAGAAGCUACUGUUCGGAACCUAGCGAAGUUGGUGUUCUCAGAGACUGUGCAGGACUGACAACGUCUACUAGACCCGGAGAGGCAGCCGGCUAAAGCAACUACUUUUAAAGAUGCUUUGGUGAAAUGGGAGAAGUCCGGUGAGCAAGCAGCCGAUGACAAAGUGAAGCUAUACGAUGAAGUCCUUCCAAUUAAAACAGGAGCACUCAAAAAAAUGAAGAGAAAACAUUGUGGAAGUCAGUGAAUGUUACUUUACUUUUAUUG